rfam:Listeria fleischmannii subsp. coloradonensis strain TTT M1-001 Contig009, whole genome shotgun sequence.
AGAACCUUUAAGUAAUAGUCCAGAGAGGCUAAAAAGGUAAACGUUUUGUAUAGGGAAAGUGUAUUCCCAGCGACACGAUACGUGUACCCUUCGCCGCUUUGGUGAAGGGUUUUUUGUAU